rnacentral:rRNA from 1 species
UACGGAGGGGACUAGCGUUGUUCGGAAUUACUGGGCGUAAAGCGCGCGCAGGCGGCGGUGCUGGCCCGGCGUGAAAGCCCCCGGCUCAACCGGGGAGGGUCGUCGGGGACCGCACCGCUUGAGGGCGGUAGGGGCUGGUGGAAUGCCUGGUGUAGUGGUGAAAUGCGUAGAGAUCAGGCGGAACACCCGUGGCGAAGGCGGCCAGCUGGGCCGUCCCUGACGCUGAGGCGCGAAGGCGUGGGGAGCGAACGGG